AUUGAACGCUGGCGGAAUGCUUUACACAUGCAAGUCGAGCGGCAGCACGGGGGCAACCCUGGUGGCGAGCGGCGAACGGGUGAGUAAUACAUCGGAACAUGCCCAGUCGCGGGGGAUAACACUUCGAAAGAAGUGCUAAUACCGCAUACGUCCUGAGGGAGAAAGCGGGGGAUCUUCGGACAUCGCGCGCUUGGAGUGGCCGAUGUCAGAUUAGCUAGUUGGGGGGGUAAAGGCCUACAAAGGCAACGAUCUGUAGCUGGGCUGAGAGGGUGAUCAGCCACACUGGGACUGAGACACGGCCCAGACUCCUACGGGAGGCAGCAGUGGGGAAUAUUGGACAAUGGGCACAAGCCUGAUCCAGCCAUACCGCGUGGGUGAAGAAGGCCUUCGGGUUGUAAAGCCCUUUUGUUGGGAAAGAAAAGCAGCCAGUUAAUACCUGGUUGUUCUGACGGUACCCAAAGAAUAAGCACCGGCUAACUUCGUGCCAGCAGCCGCUGUAAGAC
rnacentral:rRNA from 1 species